GGGGCCGUAGCUCAGACUGGGAGAGCGCUCGGCUGAAGACCGAGUUGUCCCGAGUUCAAAUCUCGGCGGCCCCAC
rnacentral:tRNA from 1 species